GAUGAACGCUGGCGGCGUGCCUAAUACUUGCAAGUCGAGCGAACUGAUUAGAAGCUUGCUCCUAUGACGUUAGCGGCGGACGGGUGAGUAACACGUGGGCAACCUGCCUGUAAGACUGGGAUAACUUCGGGAAACCGAAGCUAAUACCGGAUAGGAUCUUCUCCUUCAUGGGAGAUGAUUGAAAGAUGGUUUCGGCUAUCACUUACAGAUGGGCCCGCGGUGCAUUAGCUAGUUGGUGAGGUAACGGCUCACCAAGGCAACGAUGCAUAGCCGACCUGAGAGGGUGAUCGGCCACACUGGGACUGAGACACGGCCCAGACUCCUACGGGAGGCAGCAGUAGGGAAUCUUCCGCAAUGGACGAAAGUCUGACGGAGCAACGCCGCGUGAGUGAUGAAGGCUUUCGGGUCGUAAAACUCUGUUGUUAGGGAAGAACAAGUACGAGAGUAACUGCUCGUACCUUGACGGUACCUAACCAGAAAGCCACGGCUAACUACGUGCCAGCCGCCGCAGUAAAAC
rnacentral:rRNA from 1 species